GUCCAACUGACGUGUUCCAAAUAGGACGAAACGCGCGUUUUGAAU
rfam:Schistosoma rodhaini strain Burundi genome assembly, scaffold: SROB_contig0003510